UGGGGAAUUUUGGACAAUGGGGGAAACCCUGAUCCAGCCAUCUCGCGUGUGCGAUGAAGGCCUUCGGGGUGUAAAGCACUUUUGGCAGGAAAGAAAAGUCAUGGGUUAAUACGCAGUGAAACUGACGGUACCUGCAGAAUAAGCACCGGCUAACUACGUGCCAGCAGCCGCGGUAAUACGUAGGGUGCAAGCGUUAAUCGGAAUUACUGGGCGUAAAGCGUGCGCAGGCGGUUCGGAAAGAAAGAUGUGAAAUCCCAGAGCUCAACUUUGGAUCUGCAUUUUUAACUACCGGGCUAGGGUGUGUCAGAGGGAGGUGGAAUUCCGCGUGUAGCAGUAAAAUGCGUAGAUGUGCGGAAGAACACCGAUGGCGAAGGCAGCCUCCUGGGAUAACACUGACGCUCAUGCGCGAAAGCGUGGGGAGCAAACAGG
rnacentral:rRNA from 1 species